GAGACUGGGUGCUUCGGCGCCCGACCUCCAACCCCCUGUCUACCUUACCACUGUUGCCUCGGCGUACCCGCCCCUCCCCCCUCUGGGGGGUGUGGUGUUCGCGCCGGCGGCCAAAAACAAAACCCUUUUUUUAAACCAAGCAAUCUGAGAAAUUAUUUAAUAACUUCAAAACUUUCAACAACGGAUCUCUUGGUUCU
rnacentral:misc_RNA from 1 species